CGCCCCGUGGUGUAGUGGUUAGCAGCUCUAGAGUAACACACGCACACACACACACUAUACACAUGCAUAUAAGCAUUAUACACCGGACCAUUACUCUAGGGCCCCACCUCACAGCUACAUCACAAGGCCGGCGGUUCGAUUCCGGCCUGGGCGA